GCAAAACGCGAAGAACCUUACCUAGGCUUGACAUGCAUCUCUAAGCGCGUGAAAGCGCGUGACCCUUCGGGGGAUUUGCACAGGUGCUGCAUGGCCGUCGUCAGCUCGUGUCGUGAGAUGUUGGGUUAAGUCCCGCAACGAGCGCAACCCUUGUGAACAGUUGCCAGCACUUAAGGUGGGAACUCUGUUCAGACUGCCCAGAUCAACUGGGAGGAAGGUGGGGACGACGUCAGGUCAGUAUGGCCCUUACGCCUAGGGCUGCACACGUACUACAAUGCCCAGCACAAUGAGAACCGAGACCGCGAGGUGGAGGAAAUCUAAAAAACUGGGCCCAGUUCGGAUUGGAGGCUGCAACUCGCCUCCAUGAAGUUGGAAUCGCUAGUAAUGGCGCAUCAGCUACGGCGCCGUGAAUACGUU
rnacentral:rRNA from 1 species